GAUGAACGCUAGCGGCAGGCCUAAUACAUGCAAGCCGAACGGCAGCACGAUCUUCGGAUUGGUGGCGAGUGGCGCACGGGUGCGUAACGCGUAUGCAACUUACCCUUGACAGGAAGAUAGCCCGGGGAAACUCGGAUUAAUAUUCCAUGGUAUUAUUGAACCACCUGGUUUAGUAAUUAAAGAUUUAUCGGUCAGGGAUGGGCAUGCGUCUGAUUAGCUAGAUGGUGAGGUAACGGCUCACCAUGGCGAUGAUCAGUAGGGGUUCUGAGAGGAUGAUCCCCCACACUGGGUACUGAGAUACGGGACCAGACUCCUACGGGAGGCAGCAGUAGGGAAUAUUGGGCAAUGGGUGAGAGCCUGACCCAGCCAUGCCGCGUGUAGGAAGACGGCCCUACGGGUUGUAAACUACUUUUAUAUAGGAACAAAAAGAAGACGUGUCUUUCAUUGAGGGUACUAUAUGAAUAAGCACCGGCUAACUCCGUGCCAGCCGCC
rnacentral:rRNA from 1 species